rnacentral:rRNA from 1 species
GGCGAGUGAAGCGGCAACAGCUCAAAUUUGAAAUCUGGUCACCUUACGGAGGCCCGAGUUGUAAUUUGAAGAGGAUGCUUUUGGCGAGGUGCCUUCCGAGUGCCCUGGAACGGGACGCCACAGAGGGUGAGAGCCCCGUAUGGUUGGACACCGAGCCUAUGUAAAGCUCCUUCGACGAGUCGAGUAGUUUGGGAAUGCUGCUCAAAAUGGGAGGUAAACCCCUUCUAAAGCUAAAUAUUGGCCAGAGACCGAUAGCGCACAAGUAGAGUGAUCGAAAGAUGAAAAGCACUUUGAAAAGAGAGUUAAACAGCACGUGAAAUUGUUGAAAGGGAAGCGCUUGCGACCAGACUUGCGCCCGUCGGAUCAACCGUCGCUUGUCGGCGGCGCACUCCGGCGGGCUCAGGCCAGCAUCAGUUUUCCCGGGGGGAGAAAGGCGGUGGGAAUGUAGCUCCUAGGAGUGUUAUAGCCCGCCGCGUAAUACCCUCGGGGGGACUGAGGACCGCGCAUCUGCAAGGAUGC